rnacentral:rRNA from 1 species
CCUACGGGAGGCAGCAGUGGGGAAUUUUGCGCAAUGCUCGUAAGAGUGACGCAGCGACGCCGCGUGAAUGACGAAGGCCUUCGGGUCGUAAAGUUCUUUCGACAGGGAAGAAAAUGCCUAUAAGUAACUGUGUAUGUAUUGACGGUACCUGUAUAAGCAGCCCCGGCUAACUCCGUGCCAGCAGCCGCGGUAAUACGGAGGGGGCGAGCGUUGUUCGGAGGGACUGGGCGUAAAGAGCACGGAGGCGGUGUUGUAAGUCAUUAGUCAAAGACUAGAGCUCAACUUUAGUAAGGCUAGUGAUACUAUAAUACUAGAGUAUCAGAGAGGAUUGCAGAAUUCCUGGUGUAGCGGUGAAAUGCGUAGAUAUCAGGAGGAAUACCGUUAGCGAAGGCGGCAAUCUGGCUGGAAACUGACGCUGAGGUGCGAAAGCGUGGGUAGCAAACAGGAUUAGAUACCCCUGUAGUC